CUGUUGUCCUCUUUUAUAGGUGAGGAAACUGAGGAACAGAAAACGAAGGGACCUAACCAGGAAAGAGUUAUGUCUGCCAUCCCAGGAGCCCAGGGCCUGUGUCCUUGUGCACGAAGCUCACUCAUAAAAGUUUCUCUGCAAAGUGCUGCUCCAGUGGGUACUGGCCCAAGCCAAGAAGAUCCUGUUCCCCAGGGAAUUGUCCAGACACCCAGUGAAGGGCGCCAGAUCCCCAGGCUCCACAUAGCACCAUGAAUAUAGGCUUCCCUGAGCCCCGACAAGGGGUGAGGAUGGCCACCCAGCCCAUUACCGGGGCUCCUCCUCCAACCACUGCAUCCUCCUA
rnacentral:lncRNA from 1 species